rnacentral:snRNA from 1 species
AUACUUACCAGGCAGGGGGGAUACCAUGAUUACAAAGGUGGUUUUCCUAGGACGGUGGCUUAUUCACUGCACUCUGGAUGUGCUGACCCCUGCCAUUUCCCCAAAUGCAGGAAACUCAACUGCAUAAUUUGUGGUAGUGGGGGCCUGCAUUUGCGCCCUCCCCUU